CCUUGGACUCUUUCUUUUUCGCUGUCUACAUUAACUGUCUUUCCUUUUUUCUUAAUACAUUAUGUUCCUUUUUUUUGGUGAAUGUAUGUGUCUCUUCUGCACCCCUUUGCACCAUCGUCAUCAUUAUCUUCAUCGUCAACUCUAAUAACAAGAAACAACAUCAUUUCCAUCAUGUUAAUCAACUUGAUAUUCAUUAUCUUUAUUGGGGAAACAAUGUGGUUAUGUUGUGUCUGAUAUGUGCAUCUUGUUUUCAUAUUGCUGCACAUUGAGAUUGUUUCUACUCGUUUCCUAUCAAUUUGCCUUCUCCUCAUCGUCUUCGUUCCAAUCAUUUUUCACCAUCAUCUUCACUUUUUAAUCCCUGUGGAAGAGACUCUCAACCCUUCUGAUGACGUUCACCAUGUUGACACUGAAAAUCCAUGUGAACAUGUAUUUACACAACGUGGUUGAAAAAAAAACACUCAAUGUUGGAUAAUAUUUGAUAAAGUAUAGCAUUGCUUAAUCAAUUAUGUAAUCUUUAUAAGGAAUACAGUUACAUUCGUUAGAGCAUCAAACGCUGUCAAUGCAUGCAAGUCAAUGCAAAUCAAUGUUCAAUUGGCAUAUGUAAAAUGCAUGAUAUCUCAAUUUGAAUACUCCAAGGAAAACUCUCGAACUAAAAGGCCAUUAAAGUUUAUACGACAAGGACGAAGCACUCACUGAAUGUCGGAUACUCAGAGAAGUUUAAGCUUGGAUUGUCAAAGUCAUUUGAAAAGUCAAAAAUGGAAAUGACCAAGAUGAUGAUGGUGAUAAUUACGAUGAUGGAGACAAUUGCAGUUGAAAUAUCGAAUAAAAGCUGAACAGAAUCGCUCACCGGCAAUAGCAACAUACAAUUAUCAAAAAUAAAGCAGUUUGGGUUAAUUUUGGAUGAAAAAAAAUGAAAUCAACUGGCAACUUGAAUCUAAUUGAUUUGCAUUUAAAGAGCAAGGAAAGAUCAAAGAGGACCAAAAAAAUUAUCCUGGUAAAAAGAAGAAAGAGAAAAAGACAGAAAAUAAAGACUGGUUAUUUUUCCAGCUCAACUGGUUAAUAAUUGUGGUUCGAUGGGUUGAUCGGGUGAGUGGGGCGUGAGGAUGAAAAGGAUGAUUCUGGGGAGGAGAGUUGCAAUGGAGAUGAGAAAAGAGAACAACAAAAAAGAAGGAAAAGUUUCCAAAGCAUGAUAAUCACCUGAUUCAAGCCAUUCAUAUUGGGAUGGAAAAGUCUAUUUGAACAUUAUUGGUAAACAAGAGGAUGAGGAUAUUUCCAUCAUUUUCAAUUUCAUCUAAUUCUGGAACCUGUUAAAUUGUCUCAUUUUUCAACAUUUCCCCAUGACUAUUUAACGGUCAAACUGCAAUGUAAAUCUCAUGUUUUCCCUGUCAAGGCCUAAGGACAAAUAUUUUGGGUUCCAGGUUGAAGACGUCUUUACAUUUUUUGGGUAAUUCACUCACAAGGCCAAAUUGAUGGAAAGUUGUUUGUUUGAUUAAAUCGCAAUUUAAUUUUAUGGCUUAAAGUAGUUUGUCAUGUUGCCAGUAUUGACCAGUAAACUAGUCAAUGAUGGUUGCAAUGACAAUUAUUGAAUAUAACAGUUUUUUAAUCAAUUGGUUUCCUUACAUCAAUGAGAUGUCAACUGUUGAACGGAUUUUGAUUAAAUAUUAACCAAUUCAUAAUUCAAUUUCAUCAAUCUCAUUUCGUCUUUUGACCCUCAAAAAUUUUCAAUAAAUCAUAUUGUCGACUUGAA